rnacentral:rRNA from 1 species
GGACUACCCGGGUAUCUAAUCCUGUUUGCUCCCCUUGCUCUCGCGCCUCAGCGUCAGGUCUUAGCUAGAAAACCGCUUUCGCCACUGGUGUUCUUCCACAUAUCUACGCAUUUCACCGCUACACGUGGAAUUCCAUUCUCUCCGCCAAUCCUCAAGAUAUUCAGUUUCACAUGCAGUUCCGAUUUUGAGCUCCGGAAUUUCACACAUGACUUUUACAUCCGCCUACGCGCCCUUUACGCCCAAUAAUUCCGAUUAAUGCUUGCACCCUCCGUAUUACCGCGGCUGCUGGCAC